rnacentral:rRNA from 1 species
UCAUAUGGAUUCCUACGGGAGGCAGCAGUAGGGAAUAUUGCACAAUGGGCGAAAGCCUGAUGCAGCAACGCCGCGUGCACGAUGAAGGCCUUCGGGUCGUAAAGUGCUUUUCUGGGAGAUGAGAAAGGACAGUAUCCCAGGAAUAAGUCUCGGCUAACUACGUGCCAGCAGCCGCGGUAAAACGUAGGAGGCGAGCGUUAUCCGGAUUCACUGGGCGUAAAGCGCGUGCAGGUGGCUUGGUAAGUUAGGCGUGAAAUCUCCCGGCUCAACUGGGAGAGGUCGUCUAAUACUACCGGGCUAGAGAGCAGAAGAGGAAGAUGGAAUUCCCGGUGUAGUGGUGAAAUGCGUAGAUAUCGGGAGGAACACCAGUGGCGAAGGCGAUCUUUUGGUUUGUUUUUGACACUCAGACGCGACAGCUAGGGUAGUAAACGGGAUUAGAGACCCCGGUAAUCCUAGCCGUAAACGAUGUGAACUUGGCGUUGGUGGGUUAAACUCCAUCAGUGCCGUAGCAAACGCGAUAAGUUCACCGCCUGGGGACUAC